rnacentral:misc_RNA from 1 species
GUAGGUGAACCUGCGGAAGGAUCAUUAACACUUUUAAUGAGUCCAAACCAUUGGAUUUCAACCAACCCGUACGAACCUAUUUCCUUCCGGUUAUUUGAUUGGAGGCGUGUUUCUGUGAUGCUUCUCUCUAUCGGGGUUAAACCUGAUGAAAGAGCACGCAUACAGAAAAAGCCUCACGUUAGAUAACCCGUCCCUGUCAACUUUUUCUCUAACGAUUUUGAACCUAACUGACUAAAACUUUUUUUGCAUU